rnacentral:rRNA from 1 species
UGGGGAAUAUUGCACAAUGGGGGAAACCCUGAUGCAGCGACGCCGCGUGAAGGAAGAAGUAUCUCGGUAUGUAAACUUCUAUCAGCAGGGAAGAAAGUGACGGUACCUGACUAAGAAGCCCCGGCUAACUACGUGCCAGCAGCCGCGGUAAUACGUAGGGGGCAAGCGUUAUCCGGAUUUACUGGGUGUAAAGGGAGCGUAGACGGAGCAGCAAGUCUGAUGUGAAAGGCGGGGGCUCAACCCCCGGACUGCAUUGGAAACUGCUGAUCUUGAGUACCGGAGGGGUAAGCGGAAUUCCUAGUGUAGCGGUGAAAUGCGUAGAUAUUAGGAGGAACACCAGUGGCGAAGGCGGCUUACUGGACGGUAACUGACGUUGAGGCUCGAAAGCGUGGGGAGCAAACA